ensembl:lncRNA
CGAUAAUCUACACAGAACCUCCAAGCUCCGUUCUUCUUCUGGACCAGCACAAUGGGCGCAGCCCAAGGACUACUACUUUCCCGAACAAUCCCUUGAUCCAGCAUGCCUUGUAGCAGGGUACGAACUUCCGAAUACAGAGUAGGUGGAAUAGGGCGAUACCUUUCACGACUGGGUCCGGCCUCCCCAGUGGGGAUCUGAUGCCUCACUACGUCCGUACAUCCGUAAUCCUCGUCAUGUGUUGAAAACACAUGCUGCCAUCGGGUCAGAAGCUCCUCCAACUUCCGAGCCUGGGCUUCCUGUAACCCCUCCCCACUUAAGGACUUGUUCCUGAGAUGGCCAGGCAUUCCCUCCCCCGCCUUCUUCGGGGGUACAUCCGACUGAGUCAAGGCAACCUCGACCACGGUGGGGCAGACCUGUCGAAAACUUACGUCCCUUUCUUCCCGCACUUGAUGGGGGCCGACUGUCGUCACUCUGGCCAACCUUUGAUGCCGGUGCAGCUGGAUUGGGUAAGGACUCUCAUUUCGCACCUUCACUGGGACUCUUCCUCGGCGGACCACCGCCAAUCCCCGGGCCACCUCCACAUUCUGACAGUCGAGGUGGGGCUCAACUAACACCCAGCCUUCAGGCCCAUAAUCUUGCUGGGGGACCCUCACCCAUACGAGGGCCUCACUCCUCGCAGGUAUAGAGAGGGCAUAUCGGCAGGCCACUCGACCGAUAUCCUCUCGGUCCAUCCGUACCCUCGCCGUCUGAAUUCGACGGCAGUCAGCAACAAUUCGCCUCCAUUCUUGUUGUUCUGCCAGGGGGAUCGUCUUCACAGGCCUUGCCUGAAACAAUUCUUCCCAGCACUCGGCGAUCACAUUCAUCCCCAGCAGGGCUCGAUGAGUCCCCAAGCAGUGAUCCUGGACUACCACAAUCCCCUUCUGGGGUACAACGAUUCCACGAAUCUCUACAUCAGCCACAACGUACCCGAUGUACGGGAUGUCCAAUCCAUUUGCCCCCUUUAAGGUCAGCCAUGAGGGGUCGCUUCCUUUCAUACUCCGUUGGCCAAAUACUUCUCGUGACAGGCUUUCAGAAAACAAGGUGACCUGGGAUCCAGUGUCCACCAAACAGGAUAUUUUAACACCGCAUACCUUCGCUUCCACCACCGGACUCCGUCCAAUCAAUCCGCCCUUCGAAUCCGUUGUUCGAGAUGGGUCUUCUAAAGGGGGCCCGACCACAUGACCCACUGUGGCCGGUCGUCCUAAAAACCCCCCAUCGAGCCUCUUCGAGGUCCGCACUGUCGGCUAUAAUGUCCGGCCUCCCCACAACGGUUGCAGAUGGGUCGCCCCUGUUCGUCCCAUUCAAAGCGUGGGCGAGCCGGCCGACUCAAUCGUCUCCCCGGGUCCCGGCCACCAUCGGAAUACGCUCGCUCUCGAGGGGCGUGCCUUACCUCCUGGCUAGGGGCCCCCUGCCGCAAUUCCUCCAACAGCGUUUUAGACAGCUCUUUCAUCUGUUCACGGACAUCCUUCAUGAGCUCGGUCCUUAAUGUCUGUUUCCAAUCCACUUCGGGAGGGGCAGCUGCACUACUACUUACGGCCGCACACACAGGGGAAUCUUUAACCUCAACCUGGUCGAGCUCUAAGGCAACUGCCUCCUUCUUCAGAUCUUCAAACGUCAGUUCAGGAUCUCUUCGGAACUGUACCCGUAGGCUCUGCCGCACUGGGCCUUCCCGCAGUCCUAGUAGGAACUGAUCCCUCAGAAGGAUCUCUCCGUCCUCCAGGCCGUGAUCCGGACAUUUUUGCAAUCUGGUGAGCUGCUCCCGAAGUCGUAGUGCAUAGGCUCGUAUAGGCUGCCGGGGUCCUUGUUUACAACUAAAGAACUGGGCUCGGAGGACGGCAACGGGGGUGGUGUCUCCGUAUUGCUCGGACAGGAAGUUAAAGACGGACUGGGCCGUAGCCCGCACAGCUUCCGGGGCGGCCUGGACUUCGCGCCGCGCUUCCCCUUCCAAGGAGUUCAGUACAAACUGUAGCUGUUGGACUGCACUCAACCCUUGAAGCCCGGCCAAAUACUCAAUCUGGGCUCUCCAUUCAGAUAGUCUCACCUCUGAUUCGGUGCCGCCAUAUUUCUGGACCCAUGGGCUUCCCAUAAACACAGGCAUGACUCGGGGCGGGACUCCUGGCAACUCGUUGUCGGCCAUUGGGGGACCUUGGUCGCUCCACUCGAGGUGGAACCCUGCCGACUACGCCAAAAUCUGUCACAGGUCGGAGCGGACCACAGGUGUUGCGAGUCACGCCCCUUCCCGACUUCCACCUCGAGGAGGUCCCAAAAUCACCCCAAGGACCAGACACACAAGAUGAGUGAAGGGAAUUUAAAACAACUUUAUUUAAAUUAUUUAAAAAGGUAAUCUAGGAAAGGAGAAAAGGGGAAUCUAAAACUUUGGUUUUCGUCUCUUGACAGGAGGGGACUGGGCCUGAGAACUCUGGAGGUCUUUGGUAAGUAAUCACCAGGGGAGGGGGGGGGGCAAGGGCUCUUCCGUCCUUUCCCAGAACUUCCACCAGUCUCCUGACUACUCCUAAAUCCUUCCUUAACUGCUUGAUUUCCCGUGGCGCCCUUCUCUUCUCCUGAAGGCAACAAGAACACACAAUGAGUAUUGGGUAAAACGAAGAAUGCCUGGUUCCUAGCUUCUUUGCUCUUUGGGUUGUACUUCACCAGCGUCUGGACAGCUCCUCCACUCCCAUAGACCUCCUAGGUAGAUAUAAGGUAACACCCAAAUCCCUGAGGGCACAGGUAAGGAACAACGAUAAGGAUGUAGCAAAGUAACUAGGCCAUGCCCCUGGAUGUCCACCGGUAUAUCCGAAGCGAGUAACUUUUUACUCGUAUCACAGAUAGAUAGAGCAAGGUGACUGACUCUUCACACUAGGCUUACUGAGCGGGUUCCAGAGCAAUGGCUUUUAACUCGUGCAGGCGGGUAAGUAUUCAACAAGUAGCUGUAUCUUCACACUGGGCUUUACAGGGCGUAUUCAAGGGCAAUAGCUUUUAGCUCGUACAGACAGGUAAGUAUUCAACAAGUGGCUGUAUCUUCACGCUGGGCUUACAGAGCGUAUUCAAGGGCAAUAGCUUUCCCCACAAUAUCCGCACAAUACCUUGUUUUGCUUUCACACUUCACCUUCGAGCUGGGUCCGGAGAACGGAGUUAUAGGCGGGCGUAGGUGGGAUAGGUGGGCACCGCCACGGCAGCCUACGUUCUUUCCAACAGGAACUUUUCUCGGCCUGGAGGGCAAGUACAGACAACAGGGACACGGCACAGCACUGCAAAGCUUUAGUGCACACACGUCAAAGACAGACUCACCCACUGCACUACACACACUUCAGUGAUUUUUAAGGUCGGUACUCCACACCCGGUCGGAUUUCGUCCUGGAGGAAUUUGCAGUCGCUGUCACGGUAAGUGCUCCAAACUUUACGGUGUGGCCACAGCCAAAUAACAUCCAUUCACCCACGCUCUACUUCGGCUCACCCACUCGUCUCGUCCUCCAACGAUGGGGCCGCUCAACAAGCUGUUAAUCACUCCAACAGGUAUUAGUUAUCCAUAUCCAAGUAUGAGCAGUGAUAUGUAAGCAAUCCAAUGUACUCACAGUCUUCGUGAUACUGAUCUUCUCCCGCUCUCUUUCUCAUCCAGAUAUAAGACAACCAAUCUAAGCAAUCCAAUGUACUCACAGUCUUCGUAAUACUGAU